rnacentral:sRNA from 1 species
ACACGCUUAAUCCUAUAACAAGGAGUGGGGGACCCGAUCUUUUGGGGUUAAUUUUUCAUCUGAAAAACGGACAUCUCUUCGUCCGAACCCGUCAGCUAACCUCAUCAGCGUGAAGAGAGA